GAGGGGGCACAGCAGUUGCCCCACCCUGGGCACCAGUAACCCAUGCUAUGCCACUGGCACACCUUAAUCCUUUAGAAAAAAAAGUUCGUUCGUUUUUCAGCUUACAACAAAAACUCAACCUUGAUCCCUUUUCUUGCGUAACCUGCUUUAACUUGUGCACACGUUAACAGUUUUCAGGCAGCAGUUUCUAUCCUGGCGUGGCUAGACCUGAGGCAGAAUCUUUCCAGAAGCUCAAAAAUAGUUUAAUUCCACAUGCUCCUUUGCCUGGAGACAUGCAUUGCUUGCUUUUUGUUGCAAGAGUAACUGGGCAGUAAAGAAUAUCUCCUUUGAUAAUCCAGCCUCACCAAUGUUGGGGGUUUUGUGUGUGUGUGUGUGU